AUGGCUGAACCGGUUAAGCUAAUCGGCACAUUGGCGAGCCCAUUCGUCCACCGCGCCGCUGCCGCCCUGCGGCUCAAAGGGGUGCCCUACGAGCUGAUCCUGGAAGAUCUCCAGAGCAAGAGCGAGCUGCUGCUGAAGCACAACCCCAUCCACCAGAAGGUGCCGGUGGUUCUUCACGGCGACCGAGCCAUCUGCGAAUCCCUCGUCAUCAUGGAGUAUAUCGACGAGGCCUUCGACAGACCGCCCCUCCUGCCGACUGAUCCCUACGACCGCGCCACCGCCUGUUUCUGGGCGCAGUUCCUGGAACAGAAGUGCUCGAGGCCGUUCUGGCUGGCCAUGUGGCUGGACGCCCGCGAGGAGCAGAAGGGGUUCGUGAAGGAGAUGAAGGAGAACCUGGCGCUGCUGGAAGGGCAGCUUCAGGGGAAAAAGUUCUUCGGCGGCGACUCCAUUGCCUCGACGUCGUGGCCUGCGGGUCGGCUCACUGGAUCUACGCGUUCGAGGAGGUGA
rnacentral:rRNA from 1 species